rnacentral:rRNA from 1 species
CAGUCGCCGCGGUAAUACGUAGGUGGCAAGCGUUGUCCGGAAUUAUCGGGCGUAAAGGGCCCGCAGGCGGUUUCUUAAGUCUGAUGUGAAAGCCCCCGGCUCAACCGGGGAGGGUCAUUGGAAACUGGGAAACUUGAGUGCAGAAGAGGAGAGUGGAAUUCCACGUGUAGCGGUGAAAUGCGUAGAGAUGUGGAGGAACACCAGUGGCGAAGGCGACUCUCUGGUCUGUAACUGACGCUGAGGAGCGAAAGCGUGGGGAGCGAACAGGAUUAGAUACCCCUGUAGUCACUGUCUCUUAUAA